GAGCAUCCCGCUCCUGUCGUACGGAUUCACGCAGUUCUUCGUGUUCCAGUAGUUGUUGCAGGAACGCCAGGGCACGUCUGCGCGAGGGGAAAAACCGAGAAUCGGAGUAGCGGCGGCGAACACAACGAUCCCCGACAGAAAAAGGACAUGACGGCGGCGGCGUACCCGAUACCCUUGAAGAGGGGGGCGAUUUUGAACACCCCGAGGCCACCGAUGGUCAGCAUCUGCCCGAGGGCCAGCUCCAUGAAGAACAUCGGGAUACCGGCGAGGAUCAGCGUGAGGAAGUACGGGAUCAGGAAGGCCCCGCCGCCGUUCUUGUAGCAGAGAUGCGAUGCCCCGUCGUCCGAAUGCGCAGGAAGUGUGACGGAAGUAUACUCGCGUCGGGGGCUAUCGGCGUCCGGUUUGCGGUAUUUUCAAUGAUGCUGGAAUAGAGAUCAACGGGCGCACGAACGGCGCGGAAGAAUUACGCAAUUUACGUGCGGAGCGCGUUACGAGAUACUCGCCUCGAUUUCAAAGUCACGGCACAGCUCGUCGACGUAUACCUGUCCGGAUGUGUCGGGUACGUUUGUCGUUCCGAUAAUUGAUAAACGCAAAGAAAACAAUCGAUAACAAUUCAGCCGUUGCGUUCGAUCGAACAGGGUCUCCGACGAAUUUGGACGAGGAUGCGCGUUUCCGUUGCCGGAGAGGAUGGUGGAACGAUAUAUUUUGGUCAUUCCGACCGCGGGUUCGAGUCGCUCUAUUUAUUGGGUUUUUCAAAGACGGUGGCUCCGUCGUCGAGGCACGACUCUGUCGACCGGUAUCCAGACAUUGGAAUACCUGUGGAAAGAUCUCGUCGCGGCAUUUCCUUAUCGAAUCUAUGAAAUUAUGGAAAGGAGUGUGAAGAUCGAGGUGUUGAAAAAGUAAUGGAUAUACCGUCGAGCCGAUUAUUUAUUCAUCGGCGACGGGAGAAUAGAAUGCUGCUCUGGUAUUGUAAACGACGACGCGAAGCGUCCGAAGGACGAACGUCGACUGACUUCGGCUAAAGCUAAUGCGCGAUUAUUCGUGCCGCUCGGGAGAGGGGGACGGCGCACAUGUCGCUACAAGAGUAAACGAUGUUUCAAAUAUAUCUAACAAUAAGCUCAGAGAUGAUGGAAAUACCGAUCUUCCAUUUGGGAUGAUUGGCUUAUCAAAUUGUUGUAAUUAUCACUGUACUUAACUGCUUAAAAAUACAAAGAAACUGUCACAUCUUUAUAGCUUUCGAUCGUUAUUCAAUUAUCUAAUCAGAUUCUAGUUUCCAAGAUCAAAAUAUAUACAACUACUGCUCUGUCA